rnacentral:rRNA from 1 species
AUGCAUCCCAAACCCAAAGCACUAGCUACAUAUCCUACUCAAGCACACGCUCACGAUGGCAUCCAGAGCUGCUACCUUCGUCGCCCUGAGCCUCCUCUCCGCGGUCGCCACGCACGGUGCGGACCCUACUGCCAGCCGCCAGUCGUCGUGCCGACGCCGCCCGUUGUCGUUCCGACGCCAUACCAUGGAGGAGGAGCGCACGGCCACGGCGGGCAGUGCUCCAUCGACGCGCUAAAGCUGAGGGCGUGCGCCAACGUUCUCGGCGGCCUGCUCGGCCUCAAGGUUGGCGUGCCGGCGCGCGACGAGUGCUGCCCGCUGCUCCACGGGUUGGUCGACCUUGACGCCGCCGUCUGCCUCUGCACCGCCGUCAGGGCCAACGUCCUCGGCAUCCACCUCGACGUGCCCGUGGACAUCAGCCUCCUCCUCAACCACUGCGGCAAGACGUGCCCGUCCGAGUUCACUUGCCCAGCCCAUUAA